rnacentral:misc_RNA from 1 species
UUUCCGUAGGUGAACCUGCGGAGGGAUCAUUACAGAGUUCAUGCCCUACCGGGUAGAUCUCCCACCCUAUGUUAUUAUUACUUUGUUGCUUUGGCGGGCCGUUAGGCUCCGGCCCGACUACCGGCCCCGGCUGGUAGGCGCCCGCCAGAGGACCCAAAACCCUGAAUAUUAGUGUCGUCUGAGUACUAUAUAAUAGUUAAAACUUUCAACAACGGAUCUCUUGGUUCUGACAUCGAUGAAGAACGCAGC